rfam:Triticum aestivum genome assembly, contig: Triticum_aestivum_CS42_TGACv1_scaffold_472546_6AL
UCUAUACUCCCUCCGUCCGAAAAUACUUGUAUCAAAAUAGAUAAAAAAGUAUGUAUUUAAAACUAAAAUACAUCUAGAUACAUCUUUUUUAUCUAUUUUGAUGACAAGUAUUUCCAGAUGAAGGGAGUACGUG